GUGAACGCUGGCGGUAGGCCUAACACAUGCCAGUCGAACGGCAGCACAGUAAGAGCUUGCUCUUACGGGUGGCGAGUGGCGGACGGGUGAGGAAUACAUCGGAAUCUACUUUUUCGGGGGGGAUAACGUAGGGAAACUUACGCUAAUACCGCAUACGACCUACGGGUGAAAGCAGGGGAUCUUCGGACCUUGCGCGAUUGAAUGAUCCGAUGUCGGAUUAGCUAGUUGGCGGGGUAAAGGCCCACCAAGGCGACGAUCCGUAGCUGGUCUGAGAGGAUGAUCAGCCACACUGGAACUGAGACACGGUCCAGACUCCUACGGGAGGCAGCAGUGGGGAAUAUUGGACAAUGGGCGCAAGCCUGAUCCAGCCAUACCGCGUGGGUGAAGAAGGCCUUCGGGUUGUAAAGCCCUUUUGUUGGGAAAGAAAAGCAGCAGGUUAAUACCCCGCUGUUCUGACGGUACCCAAAGAAUAAGCACCGGCUAACUUCGUG
rnacentral:rRNA from 1 species